UACAGAGGGUGCAAGCGUUGUUCGGAAUUAUUGGGCGUAAAGCGCGUGUAGGCGGCUUUGCACGUCGGGUGUGAAAGCCCUCAGCUCAACUGAGGAAGUGCGCCCGAAACUGCAGAGCUUGAGUACCGGAGAGGAUGGCGGAAUUCCCCAAGUAGAGGUGAAAUGCGUAGAUAUCGGGAGGAACACCAGUGGCGAAGGCGGCUACCUGGCCCAUUCUUGACGCUGAGGCGCGAAAGCUAGGGGAGCAAACGGG
rnacentral:rRNA from 1 species